rnacentral:rRNA from 1 species
AUUGAACGCUGGCGGCAUGCCUUACACAUGCAAGUCGAACGGCAGCACGGGAGCAAUCCUGGUGGCGAGUGGCGAACGGGUGAGUAAUAUAUCGGAACGUGCCCAGUCGUGGGGAUAACGUAGCGAAAGCUACGCUAAUACCGCAUACGAUCUAUGGAUGAAAGCGGGGGAUCGCAAGACCUCGCGCGAUUGGAGCGGCCGAUAUCAGAUUAGGUAGUUGGUGAGGUAAAGGCUCACCAAGCCGACGAUCUGUAGCUGGUCUGAGAGGACGACCAGCCACACUGGGACUGAGACACGGCCCAGACUCCUACGGGAGGCAGCAGUGGGGAAUUUUGGGACAAUGGGCGCAAGCCUGAUCCAGCAAUGCCGCGUGCAGGAUGAAGGCCUUCGGUUGUAAACUGCUUUGUACGGUAACGAAACGGUGAGCUCUAAUACAGUUUGCUAAUGACGGUACCGUAAGAAUAAGACACC